CAGCAGCAGCAGCAGCAGCCACAGUGAACUUCAUCCUAAGGAAAUUAAGCACACGUUGCGUGAGGCUGCUGUGGGGGUGCCAGUGCUGAGGUUUCUGUAGUGGAUAAAACACAAAAAUACCAGCCCUCAUUUUGAAAAUGGAGUGACAAUAAACAAGAUAAAUUAGAUCUAUGUGGUCUGGCUUGAUGAUAUCCAACCUGACGUGGCC
rnacentral:lncRNA from 1 species